UUGAACGCUGGCGGCAGGCCUAACACAUGCAAGUCGAGCGGUAGCACAGAGAGCUUGCUCUCGGGUGACGAGCGGCGGACGGGUGAGUAAUGUCUGGGAAACUGCCUGAUGGAGGGGGAUAACUACUGGAAACGGUAGCUAAUACCGCAUAACGUCGCAAGACCAAAGUGGGGGACCUUCGGGCCUCAUGCCAUCAGAUGUGCCCAGAUGGGAUUAGCUAGUAGGUGGGGUAAUGGCUCACCUAGGCGACGAUCCCUAGCUGGUCUGAGAGGAUGACCAGCCACACUGGAACUGAGACACGGUCCAGACUCCUACGGGAGGCAGCAGUGGGGAAUAUUGCACAAUGGGCGCAAGCCUGAUGCAGCCAUGCCGCGUGUGUGAAGAAGGCCUUCGGGUUGUAAAGCACUUUCAGCGGGGAGGAAGGCGUUAAGGUUAAUAACCUUGGCGAUUGACGUUACCCGCAGAAGAAGCACCGGCUAACUCCGUGCCAGCAGCCGCGGUAAUACGGAGGGUGCAAGCGUUAAUCGGAAUUACUGGGCGUAAAGCGCACGCAGGCGGUCUGUCAAGUCGGAUGUGAAAUCCCCGGGCUCAACCUGGGAACUGCAUUCGAAACUGGCAGGCUAGAGUCUUGUAGAGGGGGGUAGAAUUCCAGGUGUAGCGGUGAAAUGCGUAGAGAUCUGGAGGAAUACCGGUGGCGAAGGCGGCCCCCUGGACAAAGACUGACGCUCAGGUGCGAAAGCGUGGGGAGCAAACAGGAUUAGAUACCCUGGUAGUCCACGCCGUAAACGAUGUCGAUUUGGAGGUUGUGCCCUUGAGGCGUGGCUUCCGGAGCUAACGCGUUAAAUCGACCGCCUGGGGAGUACGGCCGCAAGGUUAAAACUCAAAUGAAUUGACGGGGGCCCGCACAAGCGGUGGAGCAUGUGGUUUAAUUCGAUGCAACGCGAAGAACCUUACCUGGUCUUGACAUCCACAGAACUUAGCAGAGAUGCUUUGGUGCCUUCGGGAACUGUGAGACAGGUGCUGCAUGGCUGUCGUCAGCUCGUGUUGUGAAAUGUUGGGUUAAGUCCCGCAACGAGCGCAACCCUUAUCCUUUGUUGCCAGCGGUUCGGCCGGGAACUCAAAGGAGACUGCCAGUGAUAAACUGGAGGAAGGUGGGGAUGACGUCAAGUCAUCAUGGCCCUUACGACCAGGGCUACACACGUGCUACAAUGGCAUAUACAAAGAGAAGCGACCUCGCGAGAGCAAGCGGACCUCAUAAAGUAUGUCGUAGUCCGGAUUGGAGUCUGCAACUCGACUCCAUGAAGUCGGAAUCGCUAGUAAUCGUAGAUCAGAAUGCUACGGUGAAUACGUUCCCGGGCCUUGUACACACCGCCCGUCACACCAUGGGAGUGGGUUGCAAAAGAAGUAGGUAGCUUAACCUUCGGGAGGGCGCUUACCACUUUGUGAUUCAUGACUGGGGUG
rnacentral:rRNA from 1 species